UACGUAGGGGGCUAGCGUUGUCCGGAUUUAUUGGGCGUAAAGAGCGUGUAGGCGGCCAGAUAGGUCUGCUGUGAAAACUCGAGGCUCAACCUCGAGAUGUCGGCGGAAACCAUUUGGCUAGAGUCCGGAAGAGGAAAGUGGAAUUCCUGGUGUAGCGGUGAAAUGCGCAGAUAUCAGGAAGAACACCCGUGGCGAAGGCGGCUUUCUGGGACGGUACUGACGCUGGAGACGCGAAAGCGUGGUAGCAAACAGG
rnacentral:rRNA from 1 species